rnacentral:rRNA from 1 species
AACGAACGCUGGCGGCAGGCUUAACACAUGCAAGUCGAACGGGCACCUUCGGGUGUCAGUGGCAGACGGGUGAGUAACGCGUGGGAACGUACCCUUCGGUUCGGAAUAACCCAGGGAAACUUGGGCUAACACCGGAUACGUCCGCAAGGAGAAAGAUUUAUCGCCGAAGGAUCGGCCCGCGUCGGAUUAGCUAGUUGGUGGGGUAAUGGCCCACCAAGGCGACGAUCCGUAGCUUGUCUGAGAGGAUGAUCAGCCACACUGGGACUGAGACACGGCCCAGACUCCUACGGGAGGCAGCAGUGGGGAAUAUUGGACAAUGGGCGAAAGCCUGAUCCAGCCAUGCCGCGUGAGUGAAGAAGGCCUUAGGGUUGUAAAGCUCUUUCAGCGGGAAGAUAAUGACGGUACCCGCAGAAGAAGUCCCGGCUAACUUCGUGCCAGCAGCCGCGGU